UGACGGAAAUUAAUGGUCAAGUUGGGGGAAGGACAGAGAGGGAGAGCAAGGAAAGAAAUACCUUGGUAGAGGGGGCCAUAAUGGAAUUAUCAGAAACCUGACACAAGGGAAAUGCCCAGGAAUACAUAAGGAUGACCCCAGACAAAAGUCUAUGCAUUAGUGGAGAGGGAUGCCUUAACUGGCCUUCCUCUGAAAUAAAAUUGAGGACUACUGUAAUUGCUAUCAUAGAAUCUUCAUCCAGGAACUGAUGGAAGCAGAUGCAGAGAUCCACAACUAACUACUAGGCCAAGCUCCUGGAGUCCAGACGAAGCGGAGGAGCGAUAAUAUGAGCAAAGGGAUCAAGACCAUCAUGGCCUGAGCCAAUAGGAGCUCACCGACUCUGGACUGACAGCUGGUGAACCUGCAAAGGACCUAACUAGGCCCACUUGAAUGCAGGUGACAUUGGAUGACUUGGGCAGUGUAUGGGGUCACUGGCAGUGGACAGUGCAUGAACUGGCUUUUUGGAGCCCAUUUCUGAAGGAUGGAUACCUUGCUCAGCUUAGACACAGUGGAAAGGGCCUUGGUCCUGCCUCAACGUGGUGAUGGGACAGACUUCAUUGACUCCCUAUGGGAGACAUUACCCUCUCUGAGGAGCAGACAGGGAUGGGGUGGGAGGAAGGCUGGGGGGAGCAAGAGGAAGAGGGUAGUGAGAUUGGUAUGUAAAAUUUUGAAACUUGAAAAAAAGACCUUCAAUUUUAUAUAUCAGAUAACUGCCUUAUGACAGAAAUGUUGUAGCAGUACUGGAGAAGGCAAGAUGAAAGACCAGAAAUUGACAAACAAAUCACAAAGACUUGAUACCCUGAUUAUCUGAUUUAUCAUUUGUCCAUAAGUUAUUAUAAAUUUAUGCAUGUGAAGAAUAUACUAGAUUUAUAAGAGGAAAAUAAGCGAGUGAUGACAGAAAAGAAAGAUGAGGGAGAAAUAGUAAAUGAAUCUCCCUCUUUUGCCUAUGAUUUCUAACAUUGGGAGGCCAGUCUAUUAUUCACAGUAUAUUUGUGGUGUUUUCUUCUCAGAGGCAUGCUUACACGUAUGAGUGUACCACUGUGUGUUGUUCUAAAGAACAACCAGACACCACUGCUGGAGAAAUUAAGGAAGCCUGACUAUUUCUACUUGACCAACUUCUUAUAUAAAAUAUUUGUGUUAAUUUGUUUUGUGUUAUGAGUGUAAGUGUUUUGCUUGCAUGUAUGUUUGUGUAUUCCAUGUGACCCUGCUUGGUACGUAUGGAAUUAAGAUGUGGAAGUCAGUUCCCUGUAACAGCAUUACAGAAAGUUUUAUUCCAAAAUAUUGGUUCUGGGAAUUGAACCAAUGGUCUCUGCCAGAAUAACAAAAGCUCUUAACCACUGAAGCAUAGAUACUGAAUAGAAUCCGGCUAAGUGAUCCAGAACUACUUCUUGAUAUAAUUGUUGACAUGUCUUCUUUGGAAAGAAAACAACUUCAGUCUAUACUUUUUUAUUUGCUUCAGUGUCAUCAGAACUAGGUUCUUUAAUGCAUUUUAAGAGGUUCCUCCCUUGUGUCUCAAAGUUUCUUGAGCUAUUAAUCACAGGGUUGAUGGUUUUGAGUCUUUUCUGAUUUGAACCCGGAGUAGCACUUACAGACUUCUUCAGUAGCUUUUUCCCCCUAUUAACUUCAGUUUUAUCAUCAUUGUCAUCAAUAUAAGCAUUUUGUAAUCUUCACCUAGAUUUACACACUUCAAUAGAACCUUCUUACCUCUUCUGGGGACAUAGCACAUUCCAGACAGAACUAAGCAUUUUUACCUACCCCACAUAUUAGUCUGCGGAUUCUGCCUUUUACUCCAUAGCUGCUAGGUGCUGUCCACUCCUACACACAGGCCCUGCAAAAGAAUUCAACCUGAAGAGGGCAGGUAACACACUCUCAAAGACCAAAGUGAAAACUGAUUAUUCAGAAAUGUUGAUAUUUGGAAGGUUUUCUGAAAUUUGGUUUUCUUCAGAAUUCAUUGUUCUGCCAUAGCAAUACAUAAUUCAUCUUUUGCCCCAUGUUCUAAAUCAACCAUUCUUAAGAACAAGUGAUACUGAUUGUCAUUAUUAUCACUCUAAGUGGGUCAUGUCCUAGACCAUCUCAUUUUCUAUGAGGUGAAGGUUCCAACUUCCAUAUGUGAGGAGCUUGGAGGAGCUAACUUCUGGCUUCUCUUCAGAACAUACACACUGGACAGAGUGACAAAAGAGUUUCUGUUGUUUUUUAAAAACCAUGUAUUUGAUCCUGAAAGAAUCAUGAGAGACAUCACUAUCACCAAAGAUACCAGGACCCUGAUGAUAAGAUAUUCUGUGUGCAUUAUCAUACUUCACAAUAGUUCACUCAGCAAAUAUUAUAAAUUACUUUGUCUAUCCAAAGAAUUUAGAUACUUAAGAAAUAACAAGGUGGAAUCAUUUAUUUUUGAGAACGAAUUUUAGACUGUUUUCUCAUUUAGAUGUACUUUCAAUUUUCUUAAUUUGUAUUCAUUCAUUUAUUCAUGAUUUUAUAUUGGUGGGCAGCAUACAUGCCAGAAAGCAUGUGUGGAAAUUAGAAAAAAAAUGAGGGACUCAGUUCUCUGUUUCCACAAUGCAAGUCCUGUUAAUUGAACUCAGGUCUGUUGAAAAAAAUGCUUAUGAACAAGUCCUUUUGUAUUCUGAACCAUCUUAGUUGACCCAUUUGAGAUAUUUUACAUCACUUAUUGUCCUUCAAAAUGGGCAUCUGCAUGUGUGAGUGUGGGAAUGUGUGUAAAAUGUGUGACAGUGAGUUUUCUCAUCAGUCAUCUAGUAAUGGUUUACUUGAAACUUGAAGUGCAAAGACCCAACUUUAAUCUAAAUCUUUUGAGACGGGAUAUCCACCUUAAGCCAAGGUGACAGUUUCUGAUGGUAGCUCACCUAAAGGACAUGGAGUAGUACAGUUCUUGCUCUUUGCCUGCUUUUCCUUACUGGACAACUCAUUCAUUCACGGGCAUUGGAGCCUACUACUGUGAGAUACAUAUACUGAAGACAAGCAGACAUAUCCAGCUUCAUAUACUUAACAACCAGUGGAUAGGUGAGUUUUGUGUCAUUGGGAGACAGUCAUUGUUGAUUUAGCUUGAUUACAGAUAUUUCUCCCCCAGUUUUCCUAAAUCUAACAUGUCAGCAUUGCUGUGUGGUUCUACCCAUUGUCACAGGGCCAGAAACCAUGCACUGUGACUGAUUGUUUUUUUUUUUUGUAAAGGUCUCUGAGUUUUGCAAUGAAAUUUUUUCCUUUAAAAUAGGUAAGAACUACACUUAUCUGAAGGUAGAAAGACAAAUAUUUAUAAUGUAGUAAGGAAUUAUGCAGGCUUAUUAGAAUGGUAGUUGUGUGUUCUGGUCAAAAUUCAUGACUUCCCUAGUCCUGGGCAGGUUUGUUUUGUGAGCCAACUGGAUAACCUUGACCAACUACUCAAAAUAAUUGUCCCCUCCCCUGUUGGAAUUUUUACUAGUUGGUAUUUGGAUAUAUGGUUGCCUAAAGAAGCUCUCUGCUCUGACAUGACAGCCUCAUAUACCAAAGUGGAUGGGAUAAUUUCAAAGACCUAAUUAAUGAAUGAAGAGCUGUGGGAAAUCAAUGACUUCUAAAAUAGGGUGAAUGAGUUUGUACCGGGGCUAAUCCCCAGGUGAUUAGUCCUGAACCCAAGAAUAUAUUAUUCUAUAUGUAAUAUUAUAUGCAUAAGUUACAUUAUAAUUUUAAAAUAACUAAAUUUAAACUUGUAAAUUCCAAUUAUAAAAUAACAUGUUAAACAUUCAAACUUCAUGAAUUUCUAUAUAUUUCAGAAAGUUAAAAAAAAUGGGCUUGAGGCCUAAACAGAGAAUAAAGUUCUUAAGAGAAAAAAACAAAGGAUCAGAAUUACCUGGAAACUGUUCAUUGUUAGUAGUAAGUAGGGACAUGCAAAUCAAAGUAACUCUGAGACUUUAUCUUAAUUCAGGCAGCAAGGCAAAAAUCGCCAAAAAUGGGACAACACGUACUGUAAGAGUCUGGAGAAGAGGUAACCCACAUUGGAACUGGGAGCUCGUGAUGCCACUACAAAAAUCUGUGAGGAGAAUUCACAAAAUUUAGUAAUAAAAAUAACCUUAUGACUUGUGA